rnacentral:snRNA from 1 species
AUCUGCUUCAUUGAGAUCACUAAA